rnacentral:rRNA from 1 species
AUUGAACGCUGGCGGCAUGCUUUACACAUGCAAGUCGAACGGCAGCGCGGGCUUCGGCCUGGCGGCGAGUGGCGAACGGGUGAGUAAUGCAUCGGAACGUGCCCAGUAGUGGGGGAUAGCCCGGCGAAAGCCGGAUUAAUACCGCAUACGACCUGAGGGUGAAAGCGGGGGACCGAAAGGCCUCGCGCUCUUGGAGCGGCCGAUGUCGGAUUAGCUAGUUGGUGGGGUAAAGGCUUACCAAGGCGACGAUCCGUAGCUGGUCUGAGAGGGCGACCAGCCACACUGGGACUGGGACACGGCCCAGACUCCUACGGGAGGCAGCAGUGGGGAAUUUUGGACAAUGGGGGCAACCCUGAUCCAGCCAUGCCGCGUGCGGGAAGAAGGCCUUCGGGUUGUAAACCGCUUUUGUUCGGGAAGAAAUCCUCUGGGCUAAUACCCCGGGGGGAUGACGGUACCGGAAGAAUAAGCACCGGCUAACUACGUG